UGGAUCACCUCCUAACAGGGAGACAACACAAUGAUUUUGAUGCCUGAGUGCUUUUAUUCUUAGGCCGAAAUCCUGUCACCUUAGGUCGAUCGGUACCUCAGCUUUGAAGUUAAGGAUCAGCAGCAAUGUUGAUUGCUUGAUGGAGAUUUUCAGUUCCUAAACGUUGUCUAGGUCACACCCCAAAAGGGAUGAGACUCCUGGGCCAUUAGCUCAGGUGGUUAGAGCGCACCCCUGAUAAGGGUGAGGUCCCUGGUUCAAGUCCAGGAUGGCCCAUUCGGUGUUGGGGGUUUAGCUCAGUUGGUAGAGCGCCUGCUUUGCAAGCAGGAUGUCAGGAGUUCGAGUCUCCUAACCUCCACUGACCGAACUUGAUUCCCAUCUCCAAUUUUUUGGAGUUGAGCUCGAUUGGAGUGUGAUUUAGAUGUGUCCGCUGGAUGACCCCAGCCUCCUGUCAUUCCAAGUUUCAGGUUUAAGCCUUUAAUUUGGUUGAUAAGAUGCUGGGCUCAAAUCACAUCAUCAAUUGCUUGAUGAUGUGAUUUGAAGUUCUAGCAGAACCUUGACAACUGCAUAGGUGAAGUCUGGAAAAACAAAGCAUCUUACAGAUGCAUUGUUUUGAAUCUGAUCUUCUGAAAGGGAGAUUGGAUCUAGAACAAUGAAAAUUCUUUUGAGCAAGAGCCGAGACUCUUAAACGUUCUUUGAUUCGUGUCGAGCGAAUCAGAGUUUGAUCUUGUUUUUAGCAAUAAAAACUUGAGAAUCUGCUCUCAACGGCGGUAAGCGUUUAAGAGGUUAAUUGGUCAAGCUACAAAGGGCUCACGGCGGAUACCUUGGCACACAGAGGCGAUGAAGG
rnacentral:tRNA from 1 species